rnacentral:rRNA from 1 species
CGAAUCACAAAACUCGGUCUCAGUUCAGAUUGCAGGCUGCAACUCGCCUGCAUGAAGUUGGAAUUGCUAGUAAUCGCGAAUCAGAAUGUCGCGGUGAAUACGUUCCCGGGCCUUGUACACACCGCCCGUCACACCAUGAGAGUCGAUAACACCCGAAGCCUGUGAGCUAACCAUUCCGCGUUUACGCGGACGGUGGGGGCAGCAGUCGAAGGCGGGGUCGAUGAUUGGGGUGAAGUCGUAACAAGGUACC